CUUUGCGCUCGGGGAUGCCCUUCCUAGUCCGGCUGAAAUCUGCCGCGCUUUGCUUAUUUAUAUUGGCCUUUCAAACUCAACUCAUCUACGGAGAUGUCUGUCUGUCUAGACCAGGGCAAUAAUGUUUGAACAGAUCUUGCGAUCUGUGAGCGUUUCAAGGGGAGGCGUAUGAUUGGUACUUCAAAUGAGUCUCUUAAAAGAGAUCACACCGCCGGUUUACAAAAGUAAUGGUGGGGGGGGGGAAAUCGGCGCUCCUUUGGAGCCGCUCUCCCCAGCGCGACCUUCCAGCCCUUCAUGAAGCCCUCCGGACGGAUCAAAGCGGAGAAAACAGGAGCGCUGGCUUUUUGCUUUGAUGGGUCAAAUGAUCCAGAUCAAGCAAGUUCCCCAACAUUAUUAGUUAAGGACUGGCCAGAUGUUGAGACUGGAUUUGGCAUUUUGAUCCACCUAUUGAGUCGUUCCCAAGGACAGAUGUGGAUAUUUGAUGGUGUUAGAGGUAUCACCGCAGGAUGGAAGCAUCUAGUAAAGCUGCCUUUUGCAAUUGACUGAUGGUGAAUUUGUCAAUGCUUAUGGUGUUCAAGUGGCGCUCCAGUUGUUUUGGGAUUCCACCCAAGGCACCUAUUACCACAAUGGCACAGUGGUUAGAAUGUAGUACUGCAGGCUACUUCUGCUGACUGCCGAUUGCCUACAAUUUGGCAGUUCAAAUCUCACCAGGCUCAAGGUUGACUCAGCCUUCCAUCCUUCUAAGCAGAGUGAAGAUGAAGCAGAUACAUGCCCAGGAUAUUUAGCUAUUAAAUUUAAAAAGAAAAAAAGAAAACAAAAACUAAAAAAGAGUCAGCACUCUCCAUUAUGUUAAGUGAAAUGUUUCCCUACAGGAUCUGGCAUUUUCCCACCCAUCCUGAUGCAUCAAAAAUGCAAUUGCCUAGGUGGGCAGAAAGUAGAUUACAUCAGCACUUUUCUGGCUUUUCGUCUGAUGUUUAACCAUAAGGAUGAAAAAGAUUAUUUCCCCUCCAUCAUUGUAAAUUAUGUUGCUGAAAUGAAAGAAACCAUUUUUCUGUAUGAAAGGACCGCCAAGCAAUUUCCCAGUUUGAGAUUCGAAAGGCUCCAGAAUAAUGUAGCGCUAAACGAAUGCACUUUGCAUCAGGUUCUGGUCCUUGGGUUCCAGAACUCAGCAGGAAAUUGAACCCAAGGAGCUUGAAAUCUGUCCGUCCAAAGAUUCAGCAGCCAUAUUAUAAAGAGCAAACACACUGAAUUCAACUAUCACACCACAAGACAAACCUGCAGAAAAGCUACCACAUCACAGCCUUCCAAGUAAGAAUCUGAAGGUUAAAUAUUGAUCUUGAAUUGCACCCUAUGGAAGAUGAUCAUUUCACUGGGCCUGACAUGGCACGGUCACUAGUGGCAGACAAUGCAACAAAUGGGCAAUAUGGCUGCUGUUGUCUAAAAUCACUUUGAAAUAUAUCUUUAGCCUCAGCCAGUAUGUUGUAAGCUAUUAGCUGCUAAGUGUUUUCUAGGGAAGAAGAAAUUCCACAGCUAUGGCUGAUAUUCCUCUGUUAUUAUUAGCAUUGCUAGCCUACAUGUCUUCUUCUGUUCCCAGGUCAUGCUUACUCAGCCUUCCCUCCUGUGCUCUAAACCCUCCAGCACUUGGAACAAAGCAUGAGCCUCAAAAGAAAUCAUCUCUUUGGACCGUAUUUGAACCUUUCUUUCUGAUAUGUCCGCCAUGCAGCAUAUUCAAUCCAAAAGCAAAGGCUCCCGUAAGCCUUGCAGAUAGGGCGAGUUUCUAAAGCCAGUGGAAAAAGGGCAACAAAUGUCUCUCAAAGGGCUGAGCGUGUUCAAAAGGCACCUCGGAAUAGAACUCUGACCAAGACCUAUGCGCGCUGACGUCUUGUUUGGCUGCAUCGAUUCUCCACACUGCAUGCUGCGUGUCAUUCCUUCUAGCAAACGAUCUGUGCAAGUGGAGCAGAGAUUUACAAUGGUUGACAGCCAGCCCCCUCCUCCCCACUUGUAACACAGUGUUCCCAUCGAUCCUCUCGGACACUGACACUCUGAAAAUGAAACGAGUGCCUUGUUCCCAUUGGCAGCGAGGAAAGAUUCUUCAAUAUUCCUCCAAGCAACAAGGCAGCGGCAACAGCAGCAGCAGCAGCCACCAACCACACAACAACCCCCAGCCCUCCGCAGGAGCCCAGCCUGUGUGCCAACACCACAUCACAAGCACCACAAUUCACCACGCCCCUCAGCAGCCACCACAAUUGCGGUGACAUCCAAACUGCCUCCAGCCAUGGCAACCUGCCACCUGCUAGACUAGAGCAUCAUAACUUCCUGCUGCAUCUCACCGUGACUUUUGCAACCAACCAGCCACACCGCAUCCUCUGGCAAUCAGCUGCUGCCGCAUGGAUGGGACAGUAGCAUGUUUCAGGAGGAGAAAGACGUUGAAUGAACGUAGGAAGUAAGGCACACCCACAGAGGUGAAUCUUAGAAAUACAAGGCGAGGGGUAUCGGCCUCUAUUUAAGUCCCCAAAGGCAACAGAAAGGCAAAAGAGAAGGCAAGGUCACUAAGUUUAUUUGUAAAAACAAAACAAAAUUCCAAACGCAACAAUAAAUCAAAUAAUAAAUCAUUAAAAAGUGCUUUAACCAGCAGGGGGGAAAAAUCUCUUUCCUUUGCAAGAAAUAAUGUUCUUUGUGCUGCAAGUUUUUAAUCGGUGUAAUUAUUAUAUAGAAUGCACAAGUAAAGCUUUACUUGAUUAAUCAAUGCAGGACAAUUAUAAUCACUAGAGUACUAGCUAAAAGGUUUGUCUGUUUAUUUUCUGAGGCUUGCUUUGCCUCUGAUGUAAUACUGUAGCAAGGAAUUUAAAGGAAGAGAUUGAUGGUGGCCUUUUCUUCCGCCAGUAAGUGGUAGGCUUGUUUAUUAAAUUGUAAAUUAUCUUGCAUUCCCUUCUGUAUCUCAGAAAGUUAUCUACCUGCAUAUUCAUUUAAAUGGGGGGGUGCAUUGGGGCUUGUAGGUACAGCAGGUCUGCCCAGAACUGUGGUCUUAAUUGAUUACUCAGUAAAGGCUGCAGACCUACCAUGCUGCUGUAAUAGUAUUGAUGAUUGAUUAAACAAAGGAAGUUGGUUAAUCAUCUAAACAUGCUUAACCUGCUUGGCUAUGAGUUAUAUGUCAUUUGUACAAUUCGUUAUCUUUUUUUAAAAGUUCUUCUGGGCCUCAUUUGUUUAAAUGCCAAGAAUUUAAGUCUGCUCAGUCUGUUGUCCAGUCUGGGAGUAGGAAUACUUGAUACCAUUAUUGUUAGAAGUUGCAAGGGAUGUUUGCAGUGGCUAAGUUACACAUUCUCCCAAACCGUAGUUUUAUGUAAGGGUAGCCUGUUAAUGAAGCUACAGUGGCUGAGCUUACCCAUCCUAUAAGCCAUUGGAUUUAUGCCAGACACUAAGUCAAAAAACAGAUGAAUCACUUGCGUAGCCUAAUGUGUGAAUCAGAGCAGUGGAAGAAUAAAAACUAGCCAAAUUACAGCAUUUGUUUACUUGUGCAAAGUAACAAUGGACCUUGAAAGUGUUUUAUAAACUGCAGUGUGUUUUAAAUCAAUUUAAUCUAUGAGAAAUCACACACUGACAUUUUCAAAAAGGUGUUUCACUAUAAAACCGGUCCAUUAGAACUAGUUGAGAGGUUCAGUUUGGCUAUAAGUAAGAAUGAUGGCCCACUGUGAUGUACACUUCCUCUAGAAAACAAAGGUCAGUGGCUGGUAGCCAGAGGGCCUUCAAGCAUGGCUUCUACGCCAGGUUCCCAGUCAACGGAUCACAUUUCCUCAAAGUCCCAUGACAAAGGAACAGACAUUUUAGACAAAUGGCAAUAUGAAACUUUGUGCUUCAAAAUUUUUAUAGCUGGUUAUGGGAUCCACACAGUGCUUAAUUCCUAUGACAAGUAGGAAUUAAACCCUGCGGAUUUAGGUACAUGCUCAACCAGAAACCCCACUAUGCGUAGGGCAGCUGUUAUCUUCCAUCUACAGUAAUUUUACACCCAGGAUUGAAACUCUAGAGGAAGACUACGAUACAAAUGUAAGCCAAAAUGGGUUUAGCAGCCCAUAGAUAGAACAAAAUUUAGGUCAUACUGGCCAUGGGUAUUUGUAUGGAAGACUUAAACCUUAGCAGAUCUGCACAUUUGUGUUUUUAUGACAACUGCAACAUCGUCCCACCAGUUCUAGAUACAGAAGAUGGAUAUCCAUGUUAAAAGACCUACGGUGGUUGCCAACUCAGUUCAGGCACAAUUUAAAUGCUGGUUUUCACUUUAAUACGUUCAAACUGCUUAUGAUCUAGCUAUCUCAGGGACUUAAGGAUGCACUUGAGCAUAUUCUUCACCUAGAAUAUGUCGGAAUCAAAUACAAACUUUCACAUACAAGUAGUUCACUUGUAGUUUCAAUUUCCAUGUAGUUUCCAUUUCAAGACCCUAAUUUAACAAGAAAAAAAAAACCAGUUCAGAUGUUAAUAUUAGUUAACAUCACAUUGUUUUUGGGAUUUUUGCUAUUUUGUUGUUAAGCUAAACAGUUGUGAGUUUUGGCUCAGUUUACAACCUUUCUUGCCACCGUUGCUAAGUGAAUCAUUACAGUUGUUAAAUUAGUAACAUGGUCCUUAAGUGAAUCUGGCUUCCCUAUUGACUUUGCUUGUCAGAAGGUGGCAAAAGAGGAUCACAUGACCCCCGGACACUGCAACCGUCAUAAGAAUGAGCCAGUUGUCAAGUGUCUUGACUUUUGAUCAGAUGACCAUGGGGAUGCUCCAGCCAUCAUAAAUGUGAAAAAUGGUCAUAAGUCACUUUUUUCAUUGCCGUUGUAACUGCAAACAGUCACUAAACAAAAGUUGCAAGUUCAGGUCUACCUGCAUAACUCCCAAUUUUCCUUUGCUUUCAGAAAGCAAUUGAAUUGGUAUUAUUGCAGGAUGCUUUUGCCUUUAAUUUCGUUUGGGCAACCAAU